rnacentral:rRNA from 1 species
GAUCAUGGCUCAGGACGAACGCUGGCGGCGCGCCUAACACAUGCAAGUCGAACGGAGUUGUGUUGAAAGCUUGCUGGAUAUACAACUUAGUGGCGGACGGGUGAGUAACACGUGAGUAACCUGCCUCUCAGAGUGGAAUAACGUUUGGAAACGAACGCUAAUACCGCAUAACGUGAGAAGAGGGCAUCCUCCUUUUACCAAAGAUUUAUCGCUGAGAGAUGGGCUCGCGGCCGAUUAGGUAG